CAAUAGACUACCCUGGUAGUCCACGCCGUAAACGAUGAGUGCUAGGUGUUAGGGGUUUCGAUGCCCGUAGUGCCGAAGUUAACACAUUAAGCACUCCGCCUGGGGAGUACGGCCGCAAGGCUGAAACUCAAAGGAAUUGACGGGGGCCCGCACAAGCAGUGGAGCAUGUGGUUUAAUUCGAAGCAACGCGAAGAACCUUACCAGGUCUUGACAUCCUUUGACCACUCUGGAGACAGAGCUUCCCCUUCGGGGGCAAAGUGACAGGUGGUGCAUGGUUGUCGUCAGCUCGUGUCGUGAGAUGUCGGGUUAAGUCCCGCAACGAGCGCAACCCUUGACCUUAGUUGCCAGCAUUUAGUUGGGCACUCUAAGGUGACUGCCGGUGACAAACCGGAGGAAGGUGGGGAUGACGUCAAAUCAUCAUGCCCCUUAUGACCUGGGCUACACACGUGCUACAAUGCUACGGACAGAGGGUUGCAAGCUCGCGAGAGCAAGCUAAUCCCGUAAACCGUGGCUCGGUUCAGAUUGCAGG
rnacentral:rRNA from 1 species